rnacentral:rRNA from 1 species
UACGUGAGGGGCGAACGUUGUUCGGUGUCACUGGGCUUAAAGGGUGCGUAGGUGGUUGCGUAAGUAAGGUGUGAAAUCCCUCGGCUUACCCGGGGAAUUGCAUUUUAUACUGCGUGGCUUGAGGACUAAAGGGGAAAAGGGAACUCCAGGUGUAGCGGUGAAAUGCGCAGAUAUCUGGGGGAAGGCCGGCGGCGAAGGCGGGUCUCUGGGCCAAAACUGACGCUGAGGAGCGAAAGCGUGGGGAGCGAACAGG